UCGCGUGCUGCAAGUUAAGGGUCCCAGCAACUCUGUCGAUGCGGAGGUCACGGCCGCCACCGCCGACCCCGGCGAGGGCACCAGCGCGAGCGGGCCGCCGGCGAUGGACAUUGAGGAGAGCUGGCUCGUUAUCGACGAUGCAGUCGACCACCUGCUGCACCGCGCUGGCGAGCACGGAUGUGUUUCAGCCAUCCCCAGUACCCAUGGCCGCAAGUUCGAG
rnacentral:lncRNA from 1 species